rnacentral:rRNA from 1 species
UCCUGACUGACCGAUAGUGAACCAGUACCGUGAGGGAAAGGCGAAAAGAACCCCGGCGAGGGGAGUGAAAAAGAACCUGAAACCGUGUACGUACAAGCAGUGGGAGCACGCUUAGGCGUGUGACUGCGUACCUUUUGUAUAAUGGGUCAGCGACUUAUAUUCUGUAGCAAGGUUAACCGAAUAGGGGAGCCGAAGGGAAACCGAGUCUUAACUGGGCGUUAAGUUGCAGGGUAUAGACCCGAAACCCGGUGAUCUAGCCAUGGGCAGGUUGAAGGUUGGGUAACACUAACUGGAGGACCGAACCGACUAAUGUUGAAAAAUUAGCGGAUGACUUGUGGCUGGGGGUGAAAGGCCAAUCAAACCGGGAGAUAGCUGGUUCUCCCCGAAAGCUAUUUAGGUAGCGCCUCGUGAAUUCAUCUCCGGGGGUAGAGCACUGUUUCGGCAAGGGGGUCAUCCCGACUUACCAACCCGAUGCAAACUGCGAAUACCGGAGAAUGUUAUCACGGGAGACACACGGCGGGUGCUAACGUCCGUCGUGAAGAGGGAAACAACCCAGACCGCCAGCUAAGGUCCCAAAGUCAUGGUUAAGUGGGAAACGAUGUGGGAAGGCCCAGACAGCCAGGAUGUUGGCUUAGAAGCAGCCAUCAUUUAAAGAAAGCGUAAUAGCUCACUGGUCGAGUCGGCCUGCGCGGAAGAUGUAACGGGGCUAAACCAUGCACCGAAGCUGCGGCAGCGACGCUUAUGCGUUGUUGGGUAGGGGAGCGUUCUGUAAGCCUGCGAAGGUGUGCUGUGAGGCAUGCUGGAGGUAUCAGAAGUGCGAAUGCUGACAUAAGUAACGAUAAAGCGGGUGAAAAGCCCGCUCG